rnacentral:tRNA from 1 species
GCUAGGAUAGUUUAAUUGGUUAAAACUUUAAUCUCAUACAUUAAUAACGAGAGUUCGAUUCUCUCUCCUGGCU